rnacentral:misc_RNA from 1 species
AACUGUCAAGACAAGAAAAUUUCCAUUCACUAUGUGAUGUCUGAGCAGCUUUUGAUGCCUCAUGCUCACUAACAGAAGCACUCCUCAACAUGUCAAGAAAAUAGGAUACUUCAGUUUUCCUUUUUUCUAUCACAUUCUCAGUACAUCCUUCAUUCUCAUUAGGUGAGGACCGGAGGAGCUGAUUCCUCACAAGGGUUUUAAGUGCAUCAUCAUUCGUCAGUUCAGGGGAUGCCAAAGUCCUGUCCAGCCUUUCUCUAUAUUCCGAUAUCUUCCCAUUCUUCCCCAUCUUUGCCUCUCCAAGCAAAUAAAAGGAUCCCUGUCUAAACUAUAGGGUGUAAACUAACUCACUUGAUAACAAAUUGCUAUCAUCUCCUCAAGUGAGCUUUCCUUAGCUGGAACCCAGUUGCACUUUUCUAAAAUUCUGAACACUACCCUGAUUAAAAUCACUGAGACUUCUCACAAGCCCACUGGGUGCAGAUCUCAAUAUAAAACCAUCAUGACAGAUGAGACAAAGGCACCUGAUUCGUGACAACAAAGACGGGUAAAAAACACGGUCGCUUCUUGAACUUGACGAAUUCCAGACACAUAACAGAAGAAUCACCCAAGAAAACCAAAAACCAGACCUUUCCCAAAAUCACUAGUAAACAUUAAAAAAGCAACUUAAAAUCCAUUAACAGCCAGUGAAGUUGACGCUGGUUUGGUGGAGUUAUACUGAUUUCAGGACAGUCUUUGAAUGUUCCACGAGUAGGGGAAACGAAACAAGAUAAAUUCCCAGGCAGUGGAUUAUACGGAGGAAUGACAGGCAACUAAAGAUUGUAAAUUUAAUUAAAAAACUGAAAAUGUCAGGCCAGCUUUUUCUGACUGAUUGAAAGAUGAGAGAAUGGGAUGCGUGGGCAUUUCUCUCUUGCAUCUCGAACGUG